GGAUAAGGAUGGGCAUGCGGAACAUUAGCUAGUUGGUAAGGUAACGGCUUACCAAGGCUACGAUGUUUAGGGGAUCUGAGAGGAUGACCCCCCACAGUGGUACUGAGACAGGGACCAGACUCAUACGGGAGGCAGCAGUAAGGAAUAUCGGUCAAUGGGCGGAAGCCUGAAACCAGCCAUGCCGGUGCAGGAAGACGGCCCUACGGGUUGUAAAACUGCUUUUGCAGGGGAAUAAACCCCGUUACGUGUAACGGGUUUGAAUGUACUCUGAGAAUAAGGAUCGGCUAACUCCGUGCCAGCAGCCGGGGUAAUACGGAGGAUCCGAGCGUAAUCCGGAUUUCAUGGGGUUAAAGGGUGCGUAGGCGGGU
rnacentral:rRNA from 1 species